rnacentral:rRNA from 1 species
UACGGAGGGUGCAAGCGUUGCGUCGGAAUUGAUUGGGCGUAAAGGGUAGGUAGGUGGUCUCAUUUUGUCUGGGGUGAAAGCCUUGGGACUUAACCCGUGAGAAGUUGCCUCAGAGAGGUGAGACGAUAGAGUUCGUGGAGAGGGUCGUGGAAGUUCCCGGUAGUAGCGGUGAAAUGCGUAGAAGUAUCGGGAGGAACACCAGAGGCAAGGCGGCGACCUGGAACAGGCUACUGACACUCAACUACGGAAAGCGUGGGGAUCAAAACAGGAUUGAGAAA